GAUGAACGCUAGCUACAGGCUUAACACAUGCAAGUCGAGGGGAAACGAUAUUGGAAGCUUGCUUCCGAUAGGCGUCGACCGGCGCACGGGUGAGUAACGCGUAUCCAACCUGCCCAUCACUUGGGGAUAACCUUGCGAAAGUAAGACUAAUACCCAAUGACGUCUCUAGAAGACAUCUGAAAGAGAUUAACGAUUUAUCGGUGAUGGAUGGGGAUGCGUCUGAUUAGCUUGUUGGCGGGGUAACGGCCCACCAAGGCGACGAUCAGUAGGGGUUCUGAGAGGAAGGUCCGCCACAUUGGAACGGAGACACGGUCCAAACUCCUACGGGAGGCGGGAGUGAGGAAUAUUGGUCAAUGGGCGAGAGCCUGAACCAGCCAAGUAGCGUGCAGGGUGACGGCCCUAUGGGUUGUAAACUGCUUUUAUAAGGGAAUAAAGUGAGUCUCGUGAGACUUUUUGCAUGUACCUUAUGAAUAAGGACCGGCUAAUUCCGUGCCAGCCGCCGCGGUAA
rnacentral:rRNA from 1 species